ensembl:misc_RNA Metazoa_SRP Metazoan signal recognition particle RNA
GCUGGGUGUGGUGGUGCACACCUGUAGUCCCAGCUACUUGAGAGGCUGAGGUGGGAGGAUCGCUUGAGCCCAGGAGAUCGAGGCUGCAGUAAGCUGUGAUCACGCCACUGCACUCCCGCCUGGGUGACAGAGCCAGAUCCUGUCUCAA